CUACGGGCGGCUGCAGUGGGGAAUAUUGGACAAUGGGGGAAACCCUGAUCCAGCAAUGCCGCAUGUGUGAAGAAGGCCUGCGGGUUGUAAAGCACUUUCGGUUGGGAGGACUGCUUCUAGCACUAAUAUUGUUGGAAGUUGACGUUACCUUCAGAAGAAGCACCGGCUAACUCCGUGCCAGCAGCCGCGGUAAUACGGAAGGUGCAAGCGUUAAUCGGAAUUACUGGGCGUAAAGCGCGCGUAGGCGGCUAGAUCAGUCGGGUGUGAAAGCCCCGGGCUUAAACUGGGAACUGCAUCCGGACUGUCGAGAUUGAGGGCAGGAGAGGAGAGUGGAAUUCCACAUGUAGCGGUGAAAUGCGUAGAUAUGUGGAGGAACACCAAUGGCGAAGGCAGCUCUCUGGCCUGAUACUGACGCUGAGGUGCGAAAGCGUGGGGAGCAAACAGGAUUAGAUACCCCUGUAGUC
rnacentral:rRNA from 1 species